CUGUCGCCUAGGCUGGAGUGCAGUGGCGCGAUCUCAGCUCACUGCAAGCUCUGCCUCCCGGGUUCACUCCUCAGCCUCCCUAGUAGCUGGGAUUACAGGCAUGUGCCACCACGCCCGGCUAAUUUUUUGUAUUUUUAGUAGAGAUAGGGUUUCACUGUGUUAGCCAGGAUGGUCUCCAUCUCUUGACCUUGUGAUCCGCCUGCCUCGGCCUCCCAAAGUGCUGGGAUUACAGGUGUGAGCCACCGCGCCUGGCCAGAAGAAAACUCUUACAACAAACCUUUCCAUAUUAUGAGAAAACAUCUUGUCCUUUUAAAAUAAAUAGAAACUCAAGAUACAGAUUGGGAUGAGACUCACUUCGGAAAAAUGGGAAGUUACUAUAUCAACCGUACAUUUUUCUUUGAUGUGCACCCACCCCUGGGAAAGAUGCUGAUAGGUCUUGCUGGCUACCUGAGUGGAUAUGAUGGUACCUUUUUGUUCCAGAAGCCUGGGGAUAAAUAUGAGCAUCACAGCUACAUGGGAAUGAGAGGAUUCUGUGCAUUCCUCGGCUCCUGGCUGG
rnacentral:sRNA from 1 species